rnacentral:rRNA from 1 species
UACGGAGGGUGCAAGUGUUGUUCGGAAUCACUGGGCGUAAAGGGCGUGUAGGCGGUCCGCUAAGUCUGAUGUGAAAGCCCGGGGCUCACCCCCGGAAGGGCAUUGGAAACUGGCGGACUCGAGUCCCGGAGAGGAAGGUGGAAUUCCUGGUGUAGCGGUGAAAUGCGUAGAGAUCGGGAAGAACAUCGGUGGCGAAAGCGCUCUACUGGACCGCAACUGACACUCAGGGACGAAAGCUAGGGGAGCGAAUGGG